rnacentral:hammerhead_ribozyme from 1 species
GCACUGCUGAAGAGUCCUAUACUAGGACGGAACAGGUGUCCAGUAC